UUUUUUUUUAAAUAGGUCAAAAGAUUAAGUCGGGACAGUCUACUUCACUACCUUACAGAAAAGUUAGUAACACAUGUUCUACGUCAAUACUUUUGUCCGCACUAGGCGCAAAGGAUAGCUGGAUAGCUGUGGUCUUCUUGAGAAAAAACACACGGUGUUCUUCGGCUUAGUUUUUAAUUUUUAAAGUAGGUCCAAAGAUUAAGUAUGUCAGUCUACAUCACUACCUUACAGAAAAGAUAUCAAAACUGUUUUACGUCAAUACUUUUGUCCGCAAUUGGCGCAAAGGGAAGCUAGGAAGCUGUGGUGUACUUGAGAAAAAACACAGGGUGUUAUUCGGCUUAGUUCAUUUUUUUAAGUAGGUUAAAAGUUUGGUCGGACACCCUACCCCACUACCUUACAUAAUUGUUAAUAAAAAUGUUCUACGUCAAUACUUUUGUUCGCACUAGGCGCAUAAUAAAGCUGGGAAGAUGUGGUCUACUUGUAAAACACAAGGUGUUAUUCGGCUAAGUUGAUUUUUUUUAACAGGUCCAAAGAUUGAGUCUGACAGUCUACUUUACUACCUUACAGAAAAUUUAAUAAAUCAUGUUGUAUGUCAAUAAUCUUGUCCGCACUAGGCGCAAAGGGAAGCUAGGUAGCUGUUGUCUACAUGAAAGAAAAAAACGCAGGGUGUUCUUCGGCUUAGUUUUUUUUUUAAAGUAGGUCCAAAGUUGGGGUCGGACACCCUAUACCAAUACCCUACAGAAAAGGUAAUAGAGAAUGUUCUACGUCAAUACGUUUGUCUGCACUAGGCGCAAAGGGAAGCUGCUGGGUAGCUGUGGUCUACUUGCAAAAAAUCAAGGGUGUUGUUCGGCUUAGUUUUGUUUUUAAGUAGGUCCACAGUUGGGAUCGGAUACCCUAACCAACACUUACAGAAAAGUUAAUUUUAAAAUCUUGUACGGCAAAACUUUUGUCCGCAGUAGGUGCAAAGGGAAGCUAAGUAGCUGAGGUCUACUUGAAAAAAAAUCCAGGGUGUUGUUCGGCAUAGUUUUUUUAUUUUAAAGUAGGUCCACAGUUGGGGUUGACACCAUACCCAACCUUACAGAAAAAUUAAUAAAAAAUGUUCUACUGCAAUACUUUCGUCCACAAUAGGUGAAAUGGGAAGUUUAGUAGAUAAUGUCUUCUUGAGAAAAAACACACGGUGUUCUUCGGCUUAGUUUUUAAUUUUGAAAGUAGGUCCAAAGAUUGAGUCGGUUGAGUACAGCUGAGGUGUACUUGAGAAAAAAUCAAGGGUGUUGUUUGGCUUAGUUUUGUUUUUAAGUAGGUCCACAGUAGGGGUCGGACACCCUAUCCCAUUACCUUACAGAAAAGGUAAUAGAGAAUGUUCUACGUCAAUACGUUUGUCCGCACUAGGCGCAAAGGGAAGCUGUGUAGCUGUGGUCUACUUGAGAAAAAAUCAAAGGUGUUGUUCGGCUUAGUUUUGUUUUUAAGUAGGUCCACAGUUGGGGUCGGACACUUACAGAAAAGUUAAUUUUGAAAUCGUGUACGGCAAUACUUUUGUCCGCAGUAGGUGCAAAGGGAAGCUUAGUAGCUGAGGUCUACUUGAGAAAAAAUCCAGGAUGUUGUUCGGCUUAGUUUUUUUCUAUAAAAGUAGGUCCACAGUUGGGGUGGACACCAUAUCCAACCUUACAGAAAAGUUAAUAAAAAUUGUUCUACGGCAAUACUUUAGUCCACAUUAGGUGAAAUGGGGAGCUUAGUACCUAAUGUCAACUUGAUAAAAAAUUCAGGGUGUUGUUCGGCUUAAUUUUAUUUUUUUGAACUAGGUCCAAAGUUGGGGUCGCACACCUACCCAGCCUUUACUUAAAUUUUUAUUAAAAUGUUCCACGUCAAUACUUGUGUUCGCACUAGGCGCAAAGGGAAGCUUAGUAUCUGAUGUCCUCUUGAUAAAAAGUCCAGGGUGUUGUUCGGCUUAAUUUUUUUUUAACUAGGUUCAAAGUUGGGGUCGGACACCCUAUCCCACCUUUACAGAAAAGUUAAUAAAAAAUGUUCUACGGCAAUAUUUUUGUCUGCACUGGGCGCAAAGGGAAGCUGGGCAGGUGAGGUGUACUUGACAAAAUAUCAGGGGUGUUGUUCGGCUUAGUUUUAUUUUUAAGUAGGUCCACAGUUGUGGUCGAAAACCCUAACCCACCCUUACAUAAAAGUUGUUUAAAAAUGUUCUAUGUCAAUAAUCUUGUCCGCACUAGGCGCAAAGGGAAGCUAGGUAGCUGUUGUCUACAAGAAAUAAAAAAACACAAGGUGUUCUUCAGCUUAGUUUCUUUUUAAAGUAGGUCCAAAGUUGGUGUCGGACACCCUACCCCAGUACCUUACAGAAAAGUUAAUAAAACUGAUCUACGUCAAUACUUUUGUCCGCACCAGGCGCACAGGAUAGCUGAAUAGCGGUGGUCUACUUGAGGAAAAACAUAGGGUGUUUUUCGGCUUAUUUUUUUUUUUUUUUUUUAAAUAUGUCAAAAGAUUAAGUCAGGACAGUCUACUUCACUACCUUACACAAAAGUUAAUAACACAUGCUCUACGUCAACACCUUUGUCCUCACUAGGCGCAAAGGAUAGCUUGAUAGCUGUGGUCUACUUGAGAAAAAACACAUGGUGUUCUUCGGCUUAGUUUAUUAUUUCUAAAGUAGGUACAAAGAUUGAGUCGCUCAGUCUACAUCACUACCUUACAGAAAAGAUAUCAAAACUGUUCUACGUCAAUACUUGUGUCUGCAAUAGGCGCAAAGGGAAGUUAUGAAGCUGUGGUGUACUUGAGAAAACACACAGGGUGUUAUUCGGCUUAGUUUAUUUUUUUUAAGUAGGUCCAAAGUUGGGUCGGACACCCUACCCCAUUACCUUACGUAAUUGUUAAUAACAAAUUUUCUACGUCAAAACAUUUGUCCGCACUAGGCGCAAAAGGAAGCUGGGUGUUCUUCUGCAUCGUUUUUUUUUUAAAGUAGGCCAAAAGAUUGAGUCGGACAGUCUACUUCACUACCUUAAAGAAAAGGUAAUUACAAUGUUCUACGUCAAUACUUUUGUCUGCACUAGGUGCAAAGGGAAACUGGGUAGAUGUGGUCUACUUGAGAAAAAACACAGGGUGUUCUUCGGCUUAGUUGAUUUUUUUUUAAAUAGGUCAAAAGAUUGAGUCGGACAGUCUACUUCACUACCUUACAGAAAAGUUAAUAAAACAUGCUCUACGUCAAUACUUUUGUCCGGACUGGGCGCAAAGUAAAGCUAGGUAGCUGUGGUGUACUUGAGAAAGAACACAGGGUGUUCAUCGGCUUAGUUUAUUUUUUUGAAAGUAGGUCCAAAGAUUGAGUCAGACAGUCUACUUCACUACCUUACAGAAAAGUUAAUAAAACAUGCUCUACGUCAAUACUAUUGUCCGCACUAGGUGCAAAGGAAAGCUAUGUAGCUGUGGUCUACUUGUGAAAAAACACAGGGUGUUCUUCGGCUUUAUUUAUUUUUUUAAAUAGGUCCAAAGAUUGAUUCGGACAGUCUAUUUCCCUACCUUACAGAAAACUUAAUUGAAAUGUUCAACGUCAAUACUUUUGUCCGCACUAGGAGCAAAGAUAAGCUGUGUAGCUGUGGUCUACUUGAGAAAAAACACAAGGUGUUCUUCGGCUUAGUUUUUUGUUUUUGUUUAAAUAGGUCCAAAAUUAGAGUCGGAAAGUCUACUUCACUACCUUACAGAAAAGUUAAUAAAACAUGUUCUACGUCAAUACUUUUGUCCGCACUAGGCGCAAAGGAAAGCUAGGUAGCUGUGAUGUACUUGAGAAAUAACACAGGGUGUUUUUCGGCUUGGUAUUUUUUACAUAGGUCUAAAGAUUGACUCGGACAUUCCGCGCUAGUAGUAAAGGGAAGCUGGGUAACUGAAGUCCAUAGGCGGAUUUAGGGAGGGGGCCAGGGGGCCCUGCCCCCCCUUUUUUGGGAAAAAAAUUGGUUGCUUAUAUAGGGAAUCACUGAAGCGUGACUGGAGCGGGCCCCCUCUUAGGUCAGUCAGUGGGCCCUAAAUUAUGAAAAUUUCUGGAUCCGCCACUGAAGUCUACUUGAGAAAACAAAUGUAGCGUUUUUUCGGCUUAGUUUAUUUUUAAAGUAGGUCCACAGUUGGUGUCGGACACCCUACCCUAACCUUUAAGAAAAGUUAAUAAACAUUUGUUGCACGGCAAAACCUUGUCUGUACUAGGUGAAAAUGGAGCUGCGUAGCUGAGGUCAACAUGAGAUAAAAAUUUAGGGUGUUGUUCUUUUAAAGUAGGUCCAAAGUUGGGGUCGGACACCCUACCCCAACCUUACAGAAAAGUUUAUAAAAAAUGUUCUACGGCAAUACUUUCAUCCGCACUGUAUGAAAAGGGAAGCUUAGUAGCUGAUGUCUACUUGAUAAAAAAUUCAGGGUGUUGUUCGAUCGGCUUAUUUUUUUUUUUUUUUGACUAGGUUCAAAGUUGUAGUCGGACAUCCUAUCCAACCCUUACAUAAAAGUUAAUAAAAAAUGUUCUACGGCAAUACUUUUUUCCGCACUAGGUGUAAAAGGAAGCUGGGUAGCUGAUGUCUACUUGAUAAAAAAUCCAGGGUGUUGUUCGGCUUAAUUUAUUUUUUACUAGGUCCAAAGUUGGGGUCAGACACCCUAUCCCACCCUUACAGAAAACUUAAUAAAAAAUGUUCUAUGGCAACACUUGUGUCUGCACUAGGUGCAAAGGGAGGCUGGACAGCUGAGGUCUACUUGAGAAAAAAUCAAGGGUGUUGUUCGGCUUAAUUUUGUUUUUAAGUAUGUCCACAGUUGGGGUCGGACACCCUAACCCACCCUUACAGAAAAGUUUAUUAAAAAUGUUCUAUGGGAAUACUUUUGUCCGCACUAGUUGCAAAGGGAAGCAAAGUAGCUACGGUCUACUUGAGAAAAAUCCAAGGUGUUGUUCGGCUUAGUUAUGUUUUUAAGUAGGUCCACUAUUGGGGUCUGACACCCUAACCCACCCUUACAGAAAAGUUGAUUAAAAAUGUUCUACGGCAAAACUUUUGUCUGCACUAGGUGCUAAGGGAAGCUGGGUAGCUGAGGUCUACUUGAGAAAAAAUCCAGGGUGUUGUUCCGCUCAGUUUUGUUUGUAAGAAGUUGCACAGUUGAGGUCGGAAACCCUAACCCACCCUUACAGAAAAGUUAAUUAAAAAUGUUCUACGGCAAUACUUUUGUCUGCACUACGUGCAAAGGAAAGCUUAGUAGCUCAGGUAUACUUGGGGAAAAUCCAGGGUGUUGUUCCGCUCAGUUUUGUUUUUAAGAAGUUGCACAGUUGGGGUCGGACAUCCUAACGCACCAUAAAAGAAAAGUUGAUUCCAAAAGUUCUACGGCAAUGCUUUUGUCUGCACUAGGUGCAAAAGGAAGCUUAGUAGCUGAUGUCUACUUGAUAAAAAGUCAAGGGUGUUGUUCGGCUUAAUUUUGUUUAAACUAGGUCCAAAGUUUGGGUAGGACAUCCUAUCCCACCCUUACAGAAAAGUUAAUAAAAAUUGUUC
rnacentral:lncRNA from 1 species